rnacentral:rRNA from 1 species
CAGGCUGCAACUCGCCUGCAUGAAGGCGGAAUUGCUAGUAAUCGCGGAUCAGCAUGCCGCGGUGAAUACGUUCCCGGGCCUUGUACACACCGCCCGUCACACCAUGGAAGUCUGCAAUGCCCGAAGCCGGUGGCCUAACCACUUAUGUGGAAGGAGCCGUCUAAGGCAGGGCAGAUGACUGGGGUGAAGUCGUAACAAGGUAAC